AGCUGCGCCCGAGUCAAGGGAGGGCGUGGAUGAAAGAAGACCUCAGGGAGCAGGUGCAUUCUAGCACGAAUUGAAGAGAGAAAGCAAGAUCAUUUCCUAGAGACAUGGCAGGCUUGGGUAAAACUUAUGCAUAAUUAACCAGGAGUACCUGGCAGGAUAGGUUGGAUGGCUGGAGGCAAGAACAAAAGAUUCGAAGACUCCAAGUGAUUUGGAAAGAUGCCUUGACCCUUGAAGAAAGAGGGUCUCAAAAACCUGUGUGUUCUAAAAAGUUCAACAUAUGAGGGAGACCAAAGCCCAGAGAAAUGAAGAUGUCAGGGACACUCUGCUGGGUCUAUGACUCUCAGUCUGUGCCUUCUCUGAGACUGCAGAGGGGAUCCACCAGACGCUGCUGCCCGCUGCUGACCUGGCCCAGAGACACUUGCGAAAAAAAAUUCUAGACAGAUUGAAGAUCUAAAUUUUAAACAGAAAACACAAUAAGAAUAACAGAAGAAAAUAUCGGGGCAUAUUUGUGAAAUCUCAGUUUGGGAGAGACUUGAAAAAUACAAUGUCUUCCAAAAAAAACUUCCUCAGCCAUGAAGAAAAAAUAAUGAUGUAUCUGACAACAAAAAACUAGAAAUUUCCUCCAGGCAAGAAAUAAUAAAGUCUAUAUAGGACAGACAAGAAAUUAAUAUCUUCACAUUAUGAAGAACUCAUCAUCUCUUGAAGAAAACAGGAAAACGGGAAAAGAAAAAUGGGCACAGGAUGUGAAUAAUGCUUACAAAUGAACUUCAAAUAGCCAAUAAAUGUAAGAAAAGAUGCUCAAUUCUGUUAGAGAAAUGCAAAUCACAAUAGAAGUAAGCUAUUGUUUUAAAAUCCAUCAUAUUGACAAAAUAUUAAAAUCUGCUGAUUUAUAAGACUACUCCCAUGGUGGGUGGUGGGCAGGGGGGAGGGGGAACCAAAAUGAAAAUAAUCCAGAAGUUUCUCAAAUGAGGAAAUGGAUGAACAAGUCACGGAAUAUUACAGAGUUCUACCAAAAAAUAAAUGACCUGUGUAUGUAUUGGCAUCGAGUGGCAAAGGCAAAUUCCAGAGUAAUGUGAUAAUUAACAUUUAUUGAACAUUUACACCUUGUACUAUGGUUAGGAUGUGGUUUGUCCCCUAAGGGUUCAUGGGUCAGAGGUUUGGUCUUCAGAGAGGUGUUUGACCUUUAAAAGGUGGGACCUAUUGGGGAGUUCUUAGGUCAAGGGGGGCACUGCUAUCAGAGGCAUUAAGGUGGUUAUUGUGGGACCCCAGUCAGUUCCCACAAAGGGAGUUGCUAUAAAAGCAUGAGCUGGACCCUCGCAUUGCUGUCUGGCUUCCUGUGACACUGAAUUCUCCUGCUUGCGUGUGCUCCCAUCCCCUACCCUGUAAGACCACCAAGGGCACCCUCUUCAGAGGCUGGCCUUUCAGCCUCCCAAACUGUGAGCUAAAUAAGCCUCUUUUAUUUAUAAGUUAUUCAGAUAUUUUAUUGUAACCACAGAAAAUAGAUUAAUAUACUAUAGUAGUGGGUCUGAUGUCCUUGUUAAGCUUUGUUGGGGGGAGUCUCUCAACUUUCCCUGUAUUUCUCAUCCUGGUGGGUUCUGAGUUUUGGCUUUCUCUGCUUUGUUUAUUUGUCUUCCAAAAAUGUAUAGUCCUUUGGUGGCUUCCUCUCCUCGUCUCUUUAAUUUUGAAAUUUUUAUCCCUGUCCCUUAAAAAAAUACGCACACAGUGAUGUUCUCUGGAACAGCAGGAGGCAGAUGUGCAUGUGAAGCUCACUCUCUCCAAUAAGAAGCCUUUAAUUUCAUGUUAUUAAAUAAGAAAUAGGGAGAAAAUACACCUGCCUACGUGGGCAUUGAUUUGUAGGAGGGCAGAGGAAGAGACACAGGAGUUUACAGUUGAUCUGACACGUAGGCAGUCUAUUGCCCUUGACUGGACAGCCCUGAUGAUUUUGUUAAUAACAUGAUUUCACUUUACGACUGUGUAUGUGACCUGAAUCAACCAGGCACUGAAUCUAUUAUCAUCGUACAACUGUGUCAGUGUUAUUUACUCAAAAAGAAGGCAAAACUCCACCCCUGCUAAAACAGAUCAUAUUAAUUAAGGCCUCCAAGUCAGAUGGAGCCUUUUAAAAUCUGAAUAAUAGCUAGGAAUAAAUCAUAUUGUUUAAGGAUUUAAGAGUUCCAUUGUAUUAGUCAGCUAGGGCUGCUAUAACAAAAUAUCAUAGACCAGGUGGCUUAAACCACAGAAUUUUGUUUUCUCAAUUUUGGGGGCUGGUAGUCCCAGAUGGAGGUCUGGUAGGGUCAGUCUCUGGUGAGGCCUCUGUUUCUGGCUUCCAACAGCUGCCACCUUCUCACAUAGCAAAGAGAGAGCUCAGGUGUCUCUUCUUGUCCUUACUAGGACACUGGCUCUAUUGCACUAGGGACCCACCAUCUUCAAAUACAGCCACAUUCGGGGAUUAGGGUGUGAGCAUGUGACUUUUGGGAGAAACCCAAUUCAGCCCAAAGCACCUGUCCCUUAGAUUUCUAUGUUACAUUAAAAAAAAAAUCUAUAGAGAAAAUGGUAAGAAUAGGAAAAGGAAAUUACAUUUAAAUGCACCUUUGUGACAUGCUGAGAUCAUAAGGAGAUUUGAAAACUCUCUUAGUCUUCUUAACAUGUGUUUGCAAAAUUAUUUCCUUUGCUUUCUGCUAGGCAGUGUGGUAAGCUCAUUAAAAGUCAGGGGAGCAGCGGGUUCCAUUAUCAGUGCACUAAACCACAGGAUUAACAAAUAUUUUAGCAAAAGCAAUCACAUUUAUUCAUGUCCCCAUAGGGCUGUGGUCUAAAACAAUAAACUUAACCAUAAUAAUUUUAUAUUCAUUAAUCAAAUAAAUCAAUUCCUCCAUCUACCUUUUCUAGUAUACGGCAAAAUCACUGAUAAUAAAAGGGGACAGGGGGAGGAAAAGAAGGAUUUUAUUUUGAAAAAAAAAAACGAUACUGUUAGAAAAAGAAGAAACCCGAAGGUGUGCGAGCAAUUAACUCACAUUACUUGGCAGCUCAUGAUCCUGGCAGACUGCAGGCAAAGAGUUAAUGAACGUGGUUUACUCCGUUGUUAACCACACUCCAGAUUUGGAGGGGGUGGCAGGAAUUUAGAACCAAAAUACUGGAAAGGCCAGCAGGGACACCAGAAGACAGAUGGCAGAGAGAGGAAAGUUUUUUUUCCCAUUCAUUCACCAAAUAUAAUUAAGUAUCUUUUUUUUUUUUUUUUUUUUUAAACCGGUGCUGGGUAUGCAACCUGCUAAGGAUUUCUUCAUUUCACUUCAGCCUGGUCUCUGAUGCCUGGUCUCAUGUACAUCAUUGCCUGCUCUCCUGCUUCCCCGAGUUCCCUCCAAGCCAUUUUCCAUGAAGCAGCCCAGUGAUUGACUGAUUGAUUUCUUUUUUCUUUUUCCUUUCUCUCCCUUCCUCCCUCCCUCCCUCCCUCCCUCCCUCC